rnacentral:lncRNA from 1 species
GGGCCCUUUCCAGCUUAGGGUUUACACCCUCCCACGCCUCCUUGCUGUUGCCCAUGUAUAAAUACAUCUAGCAGCCACCAGGAUGAACUUGGGUUUUGUUUUAGAUGCAAGUUAGCUACUGCUACUUCCUAGUGAACGCGUGUGUCGACCAGACCACCCGAUUUGCUUGAUUCAAGACCCCAACUCGUGAUUCAGGUUUCAUUUGUUUCAGAUCCGUGGGUUUAUUUGCUUGUUCAUCUUGUUCUUGCUUGUUCUCGAUUGCUAGCAGGUUCAAGGGUGUUCUUGGCCCGGCAAGAACAGCCAACGUCGGAAUCGGUGUACCUGUUGCUAAGGCGCAGCAUCCUGUGAUUGUUGUAGUCGGACAGCCAACGUUGAUUCCACCCCCAAAUCGAAGUUACCCCUCCUCUCAUCGAAAGAUUGGGAACAGCCCCUGCCAUAUCAUGUGCUAGUCUAAUAUUCAUGUGUGUCCUCACAUGAACUCCGACUAGGGACAACUUUAGAAUAACCAUACAAGUAAAGAGUUUCACAUACAAUUCACAUAAUUGCCAAUCAAUUCAAGUAGCCUUUAAUGGAUAUUCAAUGAACACAAUAUACAAAUCAUGGAUACAAAUGGAAUAUCAUCAUCUCUAUGAUUGCCUCUAGGGCAUACCUCCAACAGUCUCC